rnacentral:rRNA from 1 species
CCUACGGGGGGCUGCAGUGGGGAAUAUUGGACAAUGGGCGAAAGCCUGAUCCAGCCAUGCCGCGUGUGUGAAGAAGGCCUUCGGGUUGUAAAGCACUUUCAGUGGGGAAGAAAGCCUUGGGGCUAAUACCCUCGAGGAAGGACAUCACCCACAGAAGAAGCACCGGCUAACUCCGUGCCAGCAGCCGCGGUAAUACGGAGGGUGCGAGCGUUAAUCGGAAUUACUGGGCGUAAAGCGCGCGUAGGCGGUCUGAUAAGCCGGUUGGGAAAGCCCCGGGCUCAACCUGGGAACGGCAUCCGGAACUGUCAGGCUAGAGUGCAGGAGAGGAAGGUAGAAUUCCCGGUGUAGCGGUGAAAUGCGUAGAGAUCGGGAGGAAUACCAGUGGCGAAGGCGGCCUUCUGGACUGACACUGACGCUGAGGUGCGAAAGCGUGGGUAGCAAACAGGAUUAGAUACCCCUGUAGUC